rnacentral:rRNA from 1 species
AUUGCCCCAGUAACGGCGAGUGAAGCGGCAACAGCUCAAAUUUGAAAUCUGGCCCCUAGGGCCCGAGUUGUAAUUUGCAGAGGAUGCUUUUGGCGAGGCGCCUUCCGAGUUCCCUGGAACGGGACGCCACAGAGGGUGAGAGCCCCGUCUGGUUGGAUGCCGAGCCUCUGUAAAGCUCCUUCGACGAGUCGAGUAGUUUGGGAAUGCUGCUCUAAAUGGGAGGUAUAUGUCUUCUAAAGCUAAAUACCGGCCAGAGACCGAUAGCGCACAAGUAGAGUGAUCGAAAGAUGAAAAGCACUUUGAAAAGAGGGUUAAAUAGUACGUGAAAUUGUUGAAAGGGAAGCGCUUGUGACCAGACUUGGGCCCGGUGAAUCAUCCAGCGUUCUCGCUGGUGCACUUUGCCGGGCUCAGGCCAGCAUCAGUUUGCCCCGGGGGAUAAAGGCUUUGGGAAUGUGGCUCCCUCGGGAGUGUUAUAGCCCAUUGCACAAUACCCUGGGGCGGACUGAGGUUCGCGCAUCUGCAAGGAUGCUGGCGUAAUGGUCAUCAGCGACCCGUCUUGAAACACGGACCAAGGAGUCGUCUUCGUAUGCGAGUGUUCGGGUGUAAAACCCCUACGCGUAAUGAAAGUGAACGCAGGUGAGAGCUUCGGCGCAUCAUCGACCGAUCCUGAUGUUCUCGGAUGGAUUUGAGUAAGAGCAUACGGGGCCGGACCCGAAAGAAGGUGAACUAUGCCUGUAUAGGGUGAAGCCAGAGGAAACUCUGGUGGAGGCUCGCAGCGGUUCUGACGUGCAAAUCGAUCGUCAAAUAUGGGCAUGGGGGCGAAAGACUAAUCGA